rnacentral:rRNA from 1 species
GACGAACGCUGGCGGCGUGCCUAAUACAUGCAAGUUGAGCGAUGAAGCUUGGUGCUUGCACCAAUUUGAAGAGCAGCGAACGGGUGAGUAACGCGUGGGGAAUCUGCCUUUGAGCGGGGGACAACAUUUGGAAACGAAUGCUAAUACCGCAUAACAACUUUAAACAUAAGUUUUAAGUUUGAAAGAUGCAAUUGCAUCACUCAAAGAUGAUCCCGCGUUGUAUUAGCUAGUUGGUGAGGUAAAGGCUCACCAAGGCGAUGAUACAUAGCCGACCUGAGAGGGUGAUCGGCCACAUUGGGACUGAGACACGGCCCAAACUCCUACGGGAGGCAGCAGUAGGGAAUCUUCGGCAAUAGACGAAAGUCUGACCGAGCAACGCCGCGUGAGUGAAGAAGGUUUUCGGAUCGUAAAACUCUGUUGGUAGAGAAGAACGUUGGUGAGAGUGGAAAGCUCAUCGAGUGACGGUAACUACCCAGAAAGGGACGGCUAACUACGUG